GAUGAACGCUGGCGGCGUGCCUAAUACAUGCAAGUAGAACGCUGAAGGAAGGAGCUUGCUCUUUCCGGAUGAGUUGCGAACGGGUGAGUAACGCGUAGGUAACCUGCCUGGUAGCGGGGGAUAACUAUUGGAAACGAUAGCUAAUACCGCAUAACAGUAGAUGUUGCAUGAUAUCUACUUAAAAGGUGCAAUUGCACCACUACCAGAUGGACCUGCGUUGUAUUAGCUAGUUGGUGAGGUAACGGCUCACCAAGGCGACGGUACAUAGCCGACCUGAGAGGGUGGUCGGCCCAACUGGGACUGGGACCCGGCCCAGACUCCUACGGGGGGCAGCCGUAGGGGAUCUUCGGCAAUGGGCGGAAGUCUGACCGGGCAACGCCGCGUGGGUGGAGAAGGUUUUCGGAUCGUAAAGCUCUGUUGUAAGGGAAGAACGAGUGUGGGAGUGGAAAGUUCACGCUGUGACGGUAUCUUACCAGAAAGGGACGGCUAACUACGUG
rnacentral:rRNA from 1 species